rnacentral:lncRNA from 1 species
AUAAGUGUAAACUUAAAUAGUUUUUUGGGUGAUUUUAGAUGGGUUUAUACGAUGAUGGAUUGAAGCGUCAUCAAUGGAAGCAUUGAUCUUUGGCGGAGUUGCAUUGGCUGGACCUUGAUUGUUAACGGAGGAAGGUAACUGUGUUGUUGCUGUGUCAUGUGUGUAUUUGGUAUUUGUAGAUGAGAACGAUUAUAGUAAAGGGAAUGAAUUAUGUUUGUAUAUGGUCUGUUAGUGGAGAAUUUAGGGGUGAUAGUGAUGUAGUUGAGUGGUGGAGGAGAUGGAGUUGAGGUGGGUUUAUACUGAAGGAAGUGUUAAACUGAUGAAGAGAAGAUCUCCUUUUGUGAUGUGUUUGUAUAGUUUAG